UACGAAGGGGGCGAGCGUUGUUCGGAAUUACUGGGCGUAAAGGGCGCGUAGGCGGUCCUUCAAGUCAGGCGUGAAAGCCCCGGGCUCAACCUGGGAACCGCGCUUGAGACUGGCGGACUCGAGUUCGGGAGAGGAUGGUGGAAUUCCCAGUGUAGAGGUGAAAUUCGUAGAUAUUGGGAAGAACACCGAUGGCGAAGGCAGCCAUCUGGACCGACACUGACGCUGAGGAGCGAAAGCCAGGGGAGCAAACGGG
rnacentral:rRNA from 1 species